UCAGAGCGAACGCUGGCGGCGGGCUUAACACGUGCAAGUCGAACGUGAAAGGGGGCAACCCCGAGUAAAGUGGCGUACGGGUGAGUAACACGUAGGUAAACUACCUCGAAAACUGGAAUAACUUGCCGAAAGGCGGGCUAAUACUAGAUAAGCCAAUGUGGUCAUAGAGAUUGCAUUGGGAAAGGGAGCCAGCAAUGGCCCUCGUUUUGAGAUGUGCCUGCGUCCCAUCAGCUAGUUGGUAAGGUAACGGCUUACCAAGGCUAUGACGGGUAGCUGGUCUGAGAGGAUGAUCAGCCACACUGGAACUGAAACACGGUCCAGACUCCUACGGGAGGCAGCAGUGGGGAAUCUUGCGCAAUGGACGGAAGUCUGACGCAGCCACGCCGUGUGAGUGAAGAAGGCCUUAGGGUUGUAAAGCUCUGUUGAGCGGGAAGAAGACUGUGGGGUGAAUAUCCUAGCAGUUUGACGGUACCGCUAUAGAAAGCACCGGCUAACCUCGUGCCAGCAGCCGCGGUAAUACGAGGGGUGCAAGCGUUGCUCGGAAUUACUGGGCGUAAAGGGUAAGUAGGUGGUCUCGUUUGUCUAGGGUGAAAGCCUUGAGCUUAACUCAAGAAGUGCCUUGGAAACGGCGAGACUGGAGUACUGGAGAGGGUCGCGGAAUUCCCGGUGUAGCGGUGAAAUGCGUAGAGAUCGGGAGGAACACCAGAGGCGAAAGCGGCGGCCUGGGCAGUAACUGACACUCAACUACGAAAGCGUGGGUAGCAAACAGGAUUAGAUACCCUGGUAGUCCACGCUGUAAACGAUGGGUACUAGAUUUGGUGGGACUUGACCCCCGCCGAAUCGG
rnacentral:rRNA from 1 species